rnacentral:ncRNA from 1 species
UAUGGCUGGCAAAGCUCGUGGAUUCGCUCUGCGUUGCUUCAAGCAGCUGUACUUUUAUUAUCAGACUCGCUACGGCUAACUCAGAACCGACAUGGAUCAGGGGAAUCCGACUGUCUAAUUAAAACAAAGCUUUGCGAUUUCCACUGAUCAAUUUUGACGCAAUACGAUUUCUGCCCAGUGUUCUAAAUGUCAAACUGAAUAAAUCCAAGCAAGAGCGGAUAAACGGAGGGAGUAAUUAUGUCAANNNNNNNN